rnacentral:rRNA from 1 species
GAGUUUGAUCGUGGCUCAGAUUGAACGCUGGCGGCAGGCCUAACACAUGCAAGUCGGACGGCAGCACGGGAGCUUGCUCCUGGUGGCGAGUGGCGGACGGGUGAGUAGUGCUUGGGAAUCUGCCUGGCAUUGGGGGAUAACUCGGGGAAACUCGAGCUAUUACCGCGUACGCCCUGAGGGGGAAAGCAGGGGACUUGCUUGCAAGCCUUGCGAUGUCAGAUGAGCCCAAGCCGGAUUAGCUAGUUGGUAGGGUAAAGGCCUACCAAGGCGACGAUCCGUAGCUGGUCUGAGAGGAUGAUCAGCCACACUGGGACUGAGACACGGCCCAGACUCCUACGGGAGGCAGCAGUGGGGAAUAUUGGACAAUGGGGGCAACCCUGAUCCAGCCAUGCCGCGUGUGUGAAGAAGGUCUUAGGAUUGUAAAGCACUUUAAGUCAGGAGGAAGGCGCUCUGGUUAAUACCUGGUGUGAUUGACGUUACUGACAGAAUAAGCACCGGCUAACUUCGUGCCAGCAGCCGCGGUAAUACGAAGGGUGCAAGCGUUAAUCGGAAUUACUGGGCGUAAAGCGCGCGCAGGCGGUUCGAUAAGAAAGAUGUGAAAGGCCUGGGCUCAACCUGGGAAUGGCAUUUUUAACUGUCGGGCUAGAGUACGGUAGAGGGUGGUGGAGUUUCCUGUGUAGCGGUGAAAUGCGUAGAUAUAGGAAGGAACACCAGUGGCGAAGGCGACCACCUGGACUGAUACUGACGCUCAUGUGCGAAAGCGUGGGGAGCAAACAGGAUUAGAUACCCUGGUAGUCCACGCUGUAAACGAUGUCAACUAGCCGUUGGUCUCCUUGUGGGAUAAGUGGCGCAGCUAACGCGAUAAGUUGACCGCCUGGGGAGUACGGCCGC